rnacentral:rRNA from 1 species
GACGAACGCUGGCGGCGUGCUUAACACAUGCAAGUCGAGCGGUAAGGCCCUUUCGGGGUACGACGAGCGGCGAACGGGUGAGUAACACGUGGGUGGACCUGCCCUCCAGCUCUGGGAGUAAAGCCCGGGAAACUGGGUCUAAUACCGGAUAUGACUCCAUGACGCAUGUUGUGGGGUGGAAAGCCUUGUGCGGCUGAGGAUGGGCCCGCGGCCUAUCAGCUUGUUGGUGGGGUGAUGGCCACCAAGGCGACGACGGGUAGCCGGCCUGAGAGGGCGACCGGCCACACUGGGA